rnacentral:rRNA from 1 species
GACGAACGCUGGCGGCGUGCUUAACACAUGCAAGUCGUACGGUAAGGCCCUUUCGGGGGUACACGAGUGGCGCACGGGUGAGUAACACGUGAGUAACCUGCCCACAACUUUGGGAUAACGCUAGGAAACUGGUGCUAAUACUGGAUAUGUGCUCCUGCUGCAUGGUGGGGGUUGGAAAGCUCCGGCGGUUGUGGAUGGACUCGCGGCCUAUCAGCUUGUUGGUGGGGUAGUGGCCUACCAAGGCGGCGACGGGUAGCCGGCCUGAGAGGGUGACCGGCCACAUUGGGACUGAGAUACGGCCCAGACUCCGACGGGAGGCAGCAGUGGGGAAGAUUGCACAAUGGGCGCAAGCCUGAUGCAGCAACGCCGCGUGCGGGAUGACGGCCUUCGGGUUGUAAACCGCUUUCAGCAGGGACGAAGCUUUUUGUGACGGUACCUGCAGAAGAAGCACCGGCUAACUACGUG